GAAAGAUUCAUCGGAAGAGGAUGGGCAUGCGGCGCAUUAGCUAGACGGCGGGGUAACGGCCCACCGUGGCGACGAUGCGUAGGGGUUCUGAGAGGAAGGUCCCCCACACUGGUACUGAGACACGGACCAGACUCCUACGGGAGGCAGCAGUGAGGAAUAUUGGUCAAUGGGAGAGAUCCUGAACCAGCCAAGCCGCGUGAGGGAAGACGGCCCUAUGGGUUGUAAACCUCUUUUGUCGGAGAACAAAACCCGGGACGUGUCCCGGACUGCGUGUAUCCGAAGAAAAAGCAUCGGCUAACUCCGUGCCAGCAGCCGCGGUAAUACGGAGGAUGCGAGCGUUAUCCGGAUUUAUUGGGUUUAAAGGGUGCGUAGGCGGUCCGUUAAGUCAGCGGUAAAAUUGCGGGGCUCAACCCCGUCGAGCCGUUGAAACUGGCAGACUUGAGUUGGCGAGAAGUACGCGGAAUGCGCGGUGUAGCGGUGAAAUGCAUAGAUAUCGCGCAGAACUCCGAUUGCGAAGGCGGCGUACCGGCGCCAGACUGACGCUGAGGCACGAAAGCGUGGGGAUCGAACAGGAUUAGAUACCCUGGUAGUCCACGCAGUAAACGAUGAAUGCUGGUUGUCCGGGUCGAAUGAGACCUGG
rnacentral:rRNA from 1 species